UCUCUCUCUCUCUCUCGGUCCCCUCUCUUCUCUUCUUAUUCUAAUCCCUUCUCUUCUUUUCUUCUCUUCCUCUCUCUCUUCAGACCAUAACCCAGAUUCUCUCUUGCUCAAUUUCUCUCACCGUUAACAAUGCGGUGGUGGUGAUGGACGAUUUGAGAAGACGACGGUGAUGACGACAUGAUGGUGGUGGUGGUGGGGUUGUGAGAUGAUGAUGAGUUCUCCAUAGAAAUCUUUCUCUGAAUCAACAUCUCUCUCAGAUCAGAUGUGAACUUACUUUCCUUCUUUCUCCUUUUUCUAUGGGUUUCCUUCUUCCAUCUAAAUUCCAUUGAAGGGAUUUACAGCUAUACAUUCCAUUUAAUUUUUACUGCAGAUUUUGAUAGUGAAAUUUGAGUGAUGAUAUUGUUCUGUGCAUUUGAAAAGUUCUUGCAAAUGGGUUUGUUGUUGUUGAGUUGGAUUUCCAGAAGAAUGGAUUUUAGAUUUUGUUAAUGAAUUUUGUUUUUGUUGAUGGAGAUAAUUUGAUGAUGAAUGUAAAGAAUACA
rnacentral:lncRNA from 1 species